AGCCCGAAUCUAAAGCACGGUAGAUUAGUAAGGACAGCUGAUCCUACUAUUCUACUGUACUUCGAAAUUGGGCCC
rfam:Haemonchus placei strain MHpl1 genome assembly, scaffold: HPLM_scaffold0001199